rnacentral:piRNA from 1 species
GUUAGAGCUUUUGCUUUACCUUGGUGC